rnacentral:lncRNA from 1 species
UCCACUUGCCCCUAGAAUCGGGCGCGAAAGACAAGACUUUCUUGAGCACAAGGUCACCUUCUCGGAACACGCGAGGCUUGACCUUCUUAUCAAAGGCUUUCUUCAUCCUUUGCUGAUACAACUGACCAUGGCACAUGGCAGUCAAUCUCUUCUCUUCGAUCAAAUUCAGUUGGUCAUAACGACUCUGAAUCCAUUCAGCAUCAGUCAACUUGGGGGUUUGAGGGUAUCAUUCUUCCUCUUUUUUCUUUCUUUU